CGUGUAGGCGGUUGUUCAAGUCGGGUGUGAAAGCCUUGAGCUCAACUCAAGAAAUGCACUCGGUACUGGAUGACUAGAGGACCGGAGAGGAUAGUGGAAUUCCCAGUGUAGUGGUGAAAUACGUAGAGAUUGGGAAGAACACCAGUGGCGAAGGCGGCUAUCUGGACGGUUUCUGACGCUAAGACGCGAAAGCGUGGGGAGCAAACAGGAUUAGAUACCCUGGUAGUCCACGCCGUAAACGAUGGGUGCUAGACGUUGGCGAGCUUGCUCGUCAGUGUCGCAGCUAACGCGUUAAGCACCCCGCCUGGGGAGUACGGUCGCAAGAUUGAA
rnacentral:rRNA from 1 species